rnacentral:lncRNA from 1 species
AUGUGCAAUAAUGUAAAAGAUUUUUCCAUAUCAGUUCUUUGUGGAAGAAAAUUUGAACAAAAACAAAAAAUGAAGAAAGUGAAAUAUAGUAUACUUUGGUUUGAAUUUAGACUCUUGAGGCAGAUGGCAUUUUUCAUCAUGAAUCCUUUGGGAUUUUCUUUCAUCAUUGUAUUGCUGAAAAUAGAUUAUAUCUGUGGUCUGAGGACCAAUCUUGCAAAAUACAUAAACAAAUGCAUCACUGCAAAACUGUCUACUAGCUGAUAAACUCUUUGUCUUGACAGAAGGGUUGUCACAUAGUUUAACAGCUGUUUCCUUGAUGACACAAGAAAUCAAAAUCUGCCAUUGCUUCAACCCUAGAGUGGAAGGCUUAAGGGUUUUUUUUUUUAAUUUCCUGUAAUCUCAAUAAAAGAAAUAUGUUACUCA